rnacentral:sRNA from 1 species
UUGCGCAAGUAAUGUUUUAUCCGGCAACUUUAGCAAUCCUGUGCUGGUGCCUCAGGCCUAUGCUUUUAAACAGAAUCACUGCCCGGACAUAGCGUCCAGCGCGGCUCGCCCAAUCAGGCCAGCUGCGGCCUCCAGCCCAAUAGGGUUGGCAUGGCCCCCGGGCUACAUACUGUCCAGAAGACGGCAUGAGGUGAGCCGACGCCACAAGCGUUGAGCCAGGACGAAAUUCCCGAAGGGGGACCGCGAGGUCCCCCU